CAGAGCACUCCUACGGGAGGCAGCAGUGGGGAAUAUUGCGCAAGUCGGGCAGGCAGACCUGACGCAGCGACCGCCGGCGGUGGGGAUGACGGCCUUCGGGUUGUAAACCUCUUUCGCCAGGGACGAAGCUUUUGUGACGGUACCUGGAGAAGAAGCACCGGCCAACUACGUGCCAGCAGCCGCGGUAACACGUAGGGUGCGAGCGUUGUCCGGAAUUAUUGGGCGUAAAGAGCUCGUAGGCGGUGUGUCGCGUCGGCCGUGAAAACUUGGGGCUUAACUCUGAGCGUGCGGUCGAUACGGGCAUCACUUGAGUUCGGCAGGGGAGACUGGAAUUCCUGGUGUAGCGGUGAAAUGCGCAGAUAUCAGGAGGAACACCGGUGGCGAAGGCGGGUCUCUGGGCCGAUACUGACGCUGAGGAGCGAAAGCAUGGGGAGCGAACAGGAUUAGAUACCCUGGUAG
rnacentral:rRNA from 1 species